rnacentral:lncRNA from 1 species
GACACAUCUAGCACAUAACAUUAUCACUUGGGCUUGCUAUCCAGCUAUAAUACCAAAUUUGAAUCACACAGAUAUAUAUGUAUAAAUAUACAGAUAUAGCAGUGUUUCCUUAUGUAUAACUCAUAAGCACAUUGGGUUUGGAAUAUGGAGAGGAAGGAAUAUGGAGAUGAAUAAUACUCAUUUCAUAUGCAUGAAUAACUUUGCAGUAAUGCAAAUGAGAAAAGACAAAAUGGAAAGUAGGUUUCUUCCAGCAGAAUUAUGACUAAGAAUGUAGCCUGAAAUUUGCCAAUAUAUUAGAGUCACUUAUGAUGUCUGUGAAUUUUCUUUAAGAUGUCACAUCUUUUAAAAACAUUCUACCCUACCCUAUUAUAUUUUCAGUAUAUAAUUACAUAAAUAUAGAAAUCCACAACUUCAAAUCCUUUUAAACUACCAUGAGGCAUGAAAGGAAGCUUUAGGAUUUUAAGAAGAUAAAAGGUGUGCGUGGGGUGGUGUCGGGGUGGGGGGGGACAGAAAAGCAACAUCAAAGGGCAAAAUGAAUUUUCUGAUUAAUUUCCAGGUAGAAGUAACCUGACCUCCACUCCUGACCCUAACUUAAUUCCUUUUCAAGUAAAUGGAAGCCAGAAAGUAUACCCCUUUCUAAGACAGAUGUUCCUGAGAUCUGAUUAUUAAAAGGAUCUUACUGGCCACAAAAAUGGCAACAAUACAGCCCAAUAAACUGUUUAGGUCCUGCUACUCCUAUUAUAAAUAAGUUUUUCCCUUAAUUUUUCCACUAUACGAAUUAAUUAAUUAGACAAGAAAAUGAAGCAAUUUUAUCAGAAAAGCAUCUCAAAGAGCUAUUGAUUCAAAUGCUUUUACAUUGUACCCUUAUCACACAUGAUUAGCUUGCAGAUAUGAGCUUAAUGAUGCAAAGCACCAGAUUUCAGUGGAUUCUUGUUCCACUUGAAUUCCCAGGAAAGAUAUUGGAAACACUAACAAAGAAAUAAUACUGUUCUUCUCACAAUGUUCUUGUAGUCAAUGAUUUUGAAGGGAUGUGUCAUGACUUGACACAGCACAGUCUUUCUAAACUAUUCCAUUGCACAUUUUCUUUAGCAUCACCAAUCUUUCCUAUAUUUUUGUGAGUAGGUGUGUUUGUGUGUGUGUGUGCUUUUGCUUAUUUCUGAUUGUAAUCCUAGUAUCUACCCAUUAGUAAGAACUGUGUGAAGCAUAUGCUCCAACCAGUAUAAAGGCAUUGAUAUUUUCAAUUAACAUUAAACUAUUCAAUAAAAUAAAUUGUAGCUGAAACUAAGUUUACAAAUUAAAACUAAGUUUACAGAUCUGCUUGCCAUAUGGAAGGUACUUAAAGUGUUUGUGGACUGAGUGAAUAAAUAAAUGGGCUUAUCUGCUAAGGACCAAGACAAAAGGAGAAAAAACCGUCUUGAGAGAAACUUAAAAAAAACCCCAAAACUAAAUCCUAUUUUACCCUUGGAUAAACUACUUUAAAUGGAAAAGUUUCUAAUUUUCAAAGGUUCUUAAUUCACUCACUAGGAAGGAAAAGGAAAAAUCUAGGAAUAGUUAUCACUAUUGGAUCUACCAUUUUUAAAUGGGCUAUAACAUUCUAGAAUAUAGGAGAGUUUAGUAUAUAAUAAAGGUGGCAUUUCACAUUUCUGAUUUCUACUUUUUCUCUAUUGGGGCUACCCACUGUUUUUUGGUCCUUACUAACCUCUGCCAAUGUGUCUCUUUGGAGUUGGUCUUUCACCCUUGGAAAAUUCAUGAAAUUCUUCCCUCAGCAGUAAAACUAUAUAAUGCUGCUCUCAAAGAGUCAAGCUGGCUAAUUAAACCUCUACCCUUGGUUCUAGCUGGUGUCAUGGAUCCUCUGAAACUCCACAGCAUCCUCCAUCUGUCGUCAGCUAUCUCUUUGAUGCCUCUUGAAGACAAGGAAACUUCUCCAGAUCUCUCCCAUGUCCUGCUGAAGGGCUUUCUUGGAGGAAGGCAACAGGUUGAGGGUUGGAGGGGAAGGGUGCCAGUUCAGAUCCACUCAAGUUCUCCUUUGCUGCCAUUCCUACAGGCAUCUACAAAACUGCCUCCUCCCAGGGUUCCAGGUGGGAAGGCAUCAUAACCCCCCUAACUCCUAUGUUUUCAUAGUCAUCAAACAGGAAUCUGUUACCUACUUCCCUCCCUCAAAAGUUGCAACACUAGGAGUGGAAUAUGCGAUGUUCAUUGUCUACAUCCAAUUUCUUUCCCUCUCCCUCACACCCUAGGCUCCUCACUGCCCACAGCCUAGAAAGUUUCAAGCUGUCCUGUGUGAUGAGCAACGAUCUCUAGCUCAUAUCCUGAAGCCUCCUCUACUGUGUGCUUAACUUUCAUAAAUUCUAUGAUCCAACUCUCUAGCAUCAGGUUAAUAUUUCUGGCCAUGUCCUUUAGGAAUUAAAAAUAAAACCAUUUUCCUCUCAAGAGCCUAGCUCUUCCAAAUCAGAACAGUUUGUUUUGAGCUUAUUGUACGUGGUAUAAGUUUAAAAAAAUAAUCUACUAGGCACUUUAAAUCUUCUGUUGACUCUGUUCUUGAUUGUGUCUACUCUCCCACUAGAGCAAUAAAUGUCAUUGAUCAAAUAAGCAGAGAAAAACAAAGCAACAAGCAUAUUUUGGAGAAGUGAUAACCUUGCUUUGCAUAGUAUACAAAUAAUAUGAAUAGAAUCUAGGCACUACAAAAUCCUACCAAUAUCCCAUAUCUUGUCCAAAGCAACAGAAAGUAUAUAGGUAGGUUAUCUCAUCUACAACGAGAAAAUAAGGCAAAACACAUAGAAUGCUCAUGUAUAAAAUGUGAAAAAGAAUAAAACUGUCAAAUUACAGGAUUUAUAAAAUGCUAAGGCAUACAAAAAAGGACAAAAAGUCUUGGAUAAAUGAAAUCUAUCUUUCGUAAACUAUAAGCUAUUUGACAGCAGAAUUUCUCUUUUUCUUUCCUAUAGUUGGCACUCAGAAAACAUUUGAUAAAGACAUUUAUGGUAAAUGAUUUUUAAGUGCCCUUGGAACUCAAAUGAUAUUCUGCUGGUGUCUGUAUCUCACCCCUGGGGACAGUGUAUACCCAGUAAAUUUUGGUGAUGAAAAAAAUAGUCUGUUUAGCAAAGGCAAAUACUAAAACCCAAACAGGGAGAAAUAAGCUAACAUUCAUUGAGUGCUUUCUUGGUGCUAAGGAAUUUACUUGGAUUAUUUCAUUGUUCAAUCAUUAAGUGUAC